rnacentral:rRNA from 1 species
GACGUAGGGGGCGAGCGUUGCCCGGAUUCACUGGGCGUAAAGCGCGUGUAGGCGGUCUGUUAAGUCGGAUGUGAAAGCCCCGGGCUCAACCUGGGAACUGCAGUUGAUACUGGCCGACUGGAGUGCGAGAGAGGGAGGUAGAAUUCCAUGUGUAGCGGUGAAAUGCGUAGAUAUAUGGAGGAAUACCGGUGGCGAAGGCGGCCUCCUGGCUCGACACUGACGCUGAGGUGCGAAAGCGUGGGGAUCAAACAGG